rnacentral:piRNA from 1 species
UUAGCUGUUUCUACAGGGUUGGAUAGG